rnacentral:tRNA from 1 species
ACCCCGGUAGCCCAAUUGGUAGCGAGGCAACGGACUUAAAAUCCGUCAGGUGUGGGUUCGAGUCCCACCCGGGGUA